AGCAGUCGCCGCGGGAAUACGAAGGGUGCAAGCGUUACUCGGAAUUACUGGGCGUAAAGCGUGCGUAGGUGGUGGUUUGAGUCCGUUGUGAAAGCCCUGGGCUCAACCUGGGAAUUGCAGUGGAUACUGGGUCACUAGAGUGUGGUAGAGGAUAGUGGAAUUUCCGGUGUAGCAGUGAAAUGUGUAGAGAUCGGAAGGAACAUCUGUGGCGAAGGCGACUAUCUGGGCCAACACUGACACUGAGGCACGAAAGCGUGGGGAGCAAACAGGAUUAGAUACCCGAGUAGUCCCUGUCUCUUAUAC
rnacentral:rRNA from 1 species